rnacentral:lncRNA from 1 species
UAUAAAUAUAGUGGGAAAGUUUCCCUGCUAAGCUUGCUGUGAAGAGAAGGGUGAAGGUGCAGUAACUGCUAUACAAGCAGCAUUGGUCUGAAACAGAUGGCAACCGAUCCAUCAGUGCGUAGCGAUGAAGGGCUGACAUGACAUGGUGAAUGCCUUACUUGGAUGGCAUAGCUUGCUGAAGGCAGUCGAGGCCCAUCUGCACCACGAGAGGGAAUCGGUUCGGAGGGAAUUGCUCACCUAACUUUUCUCUCGGCGAUUGGUUCCUCAGUGCAGGUAGGGCUGCGACUGGAGAGUGAGGGGUUGGAGGCCGCGUGCAGUGUGGCAAAACCUGGGCUGAGCUUCCCAGCGUGGCGGAGCUGCUCGGCGUGGUGACCGCGUCCUUCACCGCGUCUCCACUGCGGAGCUCUUUGCGGCCGCACCGAAGCCGUGGAGGAACAGACGCCGGCUUUCCAAGUACGAAUGCUUCUGUGAUGGGUUGAGGCACAGCUUUGCGUUUCCACGUCUAGCUGCAGCUUUUUCCCCUUUGCCAAAACUGUGAUUUCAACUGUGAUUCAAGGAGGAUGUGAAGCGAAGUGUCGUUGUAAUACCUCUAACUUAACAUUUCUGUCAGCUUCAGAGUUGGGGCUCACUAACCCGUUUGUUUGCUUGACUCAGGCGGCAGGGGGGACGUCCUCUAUUUCUGCAGGCUUCUGUGUGGGAGGAAGAACACAUUUCUUAGCUCUUUGCUGUGGCAAAGAAACCUUCCUCAUGCCAAGUGUAACGCUUCUCUCCAGCAGCCUGCAGAAAGCCCUAAGUGACAGCAGAGCAAAGCGCUCGGACGGUCCCUGCUGCCGCCAGCUUCCCUGUGAAUAGCUGUGAAAAUAAUGAGAAUUGUGUUAGUACUGUGCUGCUGCUUUGGCAAAGGCUGAGCCUUCCUCUGGGGAGGAAUGGCUGGGAAAGAGACAAGCAGACCGUCUUGCUGUUCUCCUGCAACAGGAGCUUGGGACAGCAAGCAGGGCUGCUUCUUUCCAGCAGCUGGCGAGGGAUAAGCAAAGAGGGCUCACGAAGUGGGAAUUCAUCACAGCAGAGUGACAGCACGCUUAGAGACACAGAAUGAGAGCCAGUGCUGGGGCAGGUCAGUGGGGCAGGCCCCAGCACUCGUCCUGUGCUGAGUUGCACCAGUGCUGUGCUUACCAUGCCAGGAACAUCUGAGGAUGGGAGAAAUCCAGGGCCUUUGGUUCAGGAAAUGUUGUGUGUUUUAUUUGGGCUUGGGCUCCGAUUUCCCCCAGGAGCUGAGCCAUAACCACAGCCACAGUCAGAAAUGUGGGGACUUCCACGGAGCUGCCACCGCUCUGACAUUAUCUGGGGAGUCCUGCCAUCUCUCGCCAGCUGCCUCGGCUUUGUUGCUGAAAAGGUCUCUUCUGUGAAACAUAGGGAAAAUCAGAGGAUAUAGGAGUGGCUGAACUGCGGUGAUUGGGGUGCUAGUUGGAGGAGAGGUGCCUGGAGAGGAAGGCCUGGCAGCAUCUUAUUUCUGAGCAUAGGAUUGAUUGGGUCAGCUUCAUUGUGCAAAUUGUGAAUGCUGCCGUUGCGAGGAUGGAGGCUGUGAUGGAAGCAGGGCUGGGCUGCAUGCUGGUCCCACACAGGUACUGGAGGCCUUCCUGCUGAUCUGAAGGUACCAGAGCUCGGUCUGCUGGGGAGCUGCCAUGUAUGUGGUUCUACCAUUUCUUUGUGUCAGAUCCGACCAUGGCUUUUUUUUUUUUUUAGGUUGAACUAAGAGAUAUCCAACUGUAAUCUUCACUGACCUGUUUGACUUCUUAUUCCUAGGGACUGUAGAAAAUUCAGGUUUCAUAUAACAUUAUCCUCAUCCCAACUGUGAACACGUUACUACUGCUUCUUAUAAUUUAUUACCUUUCCGUUUCUGAACGUCUGUGCGAUCCGGCUGUUUACCAGUGCCACCUUCCAGUGCUCCAUUAGUUUUCAUGCACAGGGAAUUGUUGCAAUGGAUAAGCUGACCAUGCUAGUUGGAAGAGUAGAAGCCUUUGCAGAGUGACUUUUGCUUCCUCUAGCUGUCAUUAGGGAAUGCACACACACA